rnacentral:rRNA from 1 species
GAUGAACGCUGGCGGCGUGCCUAAUACAUGCAAGUCGAGCGAACGGACGAGAAGCAUGCUUUUCUGAUGUUAGCGGCGGACGGGUGAGUAACACGUGGAUAACCUACCUAUAAGACUGGGAUAACUUCGGGAAACCGGAGCUAAUACCGGAUAAUAUUUUGAACCGCAUGGUUCAAAAGUGAAAGACGGUCUUGCUGUCACUUAUAGAUGGAUCCGCGCUGCAUUAGCUAGUUGGUAAGGUAACGGCUUACCAAGGCAACGAUGCAUAGCCGACCUGAGAGGGUGAUCGGCCACACUGGAACUGAGACACGGUCCAGACUCCUACGGGAGGCAGCAGUAGGGAAUCUUCCGCAAUGGGCGAAAGCCUGACGGAGCAACGCCGCGUGAGUGAUGAAGGUCUUCGGAUCGUAAAACUCUGUUAUUAGGGAAGAACAAAUGUGUAAGUAACUGUGCACAUCUUGACGGUACCUAAUCAGAAAGCCACGGCUAACUACGUG